UACGUAGGGUGCGAGCGUUAAUCGGAAUUACUGGGCGUAAAGCGUGCGCAGGCGGUUCGCCAAGUCAGGUGUGAAAUCCCCGGGCUUAACCUGGGAAUUGCGCUUGAAACUAGCGGGCUUGAGUGUGGCAGAGGGGGGUGGAAUUCCACGUGUAGCAGUGAAAUGCGUAGAGAUCGGCAGGAACACCCAGGGGGAAACCAGCCGACUGGGCAUCUGCUGACGCUGAGGUGCGAGAGCGUGGGGAGCGAACCGG
rnacentral:rRNA from 1 species